UUCCACAAGAUAAGAAUAUGGAAAAAUAUGAUAAAGAUAUUCGAUUAAUUAUAUAUGGUCAUAAUUUAUCUAAUUAUAUUUUAAAAAAUGAAGAUAUAUGUAAUCAUAAAAGGAUUUUACAACAUAUAGAAGAAUAUUGUGUAAUUGAGUCAAAAAUAUUAAAUGUUUAUUAUAGUUUAAGUAAAGGGAAAUAUAAUAAUAAUGGUGAAAGUAAUAUAUCUCAAAAUAAAAGAAUAAAAAAAGAAGUUAUAAAACAAAUGGAGAAUAUUUAUUUAGAUAAAUAUAAAGCUCCUAUCCCUAUUAUGAAUUCAGUUAUAUUAACAUUACUAUUUAAAAAUAUGCAUAUUUUUAAUUUAUAUAAAAUAUUUUUAACUGCAUUAAAAUAUGAUAAUUUUCGUUUUAUUAAAUUAAUUAAAAAAUCAAUUUUUUUAAAAUUUUUUGAUUUAUGUUUAUUUGAUAUGAAUAAAAAAGUGUCUAGCCAAUAUGUAAUGGAAUGUAAUAAAAUAAAAACAGAAGUUCAGUUAAUACAUGUAUUGGGUGAAAAUUGUACAAGUUUUACUAACCUAGAUGGACAAACAAUGGAAAAUAUAGACCCUAUAAAAAAUAAUGAUAUAUUUAUUCAAUAUAAUAUAAAACAUCCAUUGUUUUAUUGUGCUAAUGAAACAUUAACAAGUUUUAUGUGUAAAAUGUUUUUUAAUUUUGUGAAGGAACCAAUAGAUCCGGAAAAUGAAGAUAAUAUAUAUCAUUAUGCAUCAAAAAAAAAAUGUAGAAUUACUUAAAUUAUUCAAAAUAUCUGGACUAAAAUAUAACUAUAUAUUUGAUAAAAAUAUAGAGCAAAAAUCACCUUUAGAUUAUAUAGACAAUGAACCACUUAAAACUGAUCUUAUAUCUUCAUAUAUAUUAUAUGUUGCUUCAAAAGGUGCAGAUAAUUAUAAAAAUGGAAAAUAUAAUGUUGCUUAUGAACUAUAUACAGAAGCAUUAGAAAAACAAAUGUAUUUAUGUAAUAGUUUUAAAAUAUUAAAACCUAUGAAUGAAAAUGUUGGAAAAUUAUAUUACAAUAGAGCAAGAACAUUAAUGCAUUUAAAUAAAUGGAUUGAUGUUAUUGAUAAUUGUAAUAAAUGUUUAGAAUAUAUUCCUAAAUAUGUUAAUGCGUUUGAUACACAAAUACAUGCGUAUGAACAAUUAUUGGAAUAUGAACAGGCGUUAUAUACGUAUCAAAAUAUGUGUAUAAAAUGUAAUAUAACUUUAGAAGAUAAAGAAGAAAAAUUAUUAUCGCAAAUUAAUGCUACAUCUUUUCAAAUUUUAAAUAUAAAUAGAAAUUGUACUGUAGAACAAAUAAAACAAGCAUUUUCUAGUUUAUCAAAAAAAUGGCAUCCGGAUAAAUUAGGUAUAAAUGUUAGUGAAGAUAUAAAAAAAAGACACAACAACCAUUUUAAUAGAUUAUUUAAAGCAAAACAAUUAUUAUUGAAUGAGGCUGAACGAAUUAAAGAAAAAAAAAAAAAAAAAAGAAAAAAAAAAUGAAAGGGAGUUAAAUGUGGGAAGUAAAAACAGGAGUAGUAAAAAUGGAAGUAGUAAAAAUGGAAGUAGUAAAAAUGGAAGUAGUAAAAAUGGAAGUAGUAAAAGAGAAGUAGAGAAAGAAUGGAAUAAAAAACGGGAAUACCAGCA
ensembl:lncRNA